CUAUUUCCAUAUUUAAAUGUAGUUAAACUUUCAUAUUCGAUUCGGGAUAUUGUUUAUGCGGCUGUCAAGACAACUGUCAGCUGUCAGAAAUAAAUAAUUCCCCACCAGUUUAGACAGUGACAGGAGAUUACCAGGAAAAUUAAAAAAUAGAUUUUCGGCAUUAAUACAACUGGAACUCUCAAAUUGUUAAAGUGUUAGCAAACGUAAAAACGAGUAAAAAAUGUUAUUUUCAAGAUUGCGACCAAUUUUAAGUCAGAAUUUAUUAAAAAACUUCGAAACGGUUCGUCAUAAAACGUACACACGAAGUGGAGGUAUAUUGCCAGAACCUCCAAUCACUAAAUUUGGAUUAUUAGGAGUGAUUUGUACGGUUAUACCUGGAUUACUAAUCGGAGCCACUAUCAGUAAGAAUAUGGCUAGUUUUCUGGAGGAAAAUGAUCUAUUUGUACCUUCUGAUGAUGACGAUGAUGAUGAUUAAAUGCAAAGUAGUAACAUAAAAGGUAUUAAAUUAUAAGUGAUUAAUAUGUUCAUCUAAAUUAUUGUUCCUGAAAGUUAAAUAAAACAUAAGUAGUAAAUAAA